rnacentral:lncRNA from 8 species
CUUGGUCUAGGUGAUGAACUAUCACUGCCUAUCGGUCAUGGUAGAAACCCCUCAUUUGGCUCGGCUGCUGAAGUAUGUCGCAAUCACUAGGAAGAAUUUUCUUCCUUAGGUUAUCUCCAGACUUGUUCCCACAGGAGCAGAUGACUCAAAACUUUGUAAAGGACGUAUCAUGGGAGCGAGGAG